GAUGAACGCUGGCGGCGUGCCUAAUACAUGCAAGUCGAGCGAACGGACGAGAAGCUUGCUUUUCUGAUGUUAGCGGCGGACGGGUGAGUAACACGUGGAUAACCUACCUAUAAGACUGGGAUAACUUCGGGAAACCGGAGCUAAUACCGGAUAAUAUUUUGAACCGCAUGGUUCAAAAGUGGAAGACGGUCUUGCUGUCACUUAUAGAUGGAUCCGCGCUGCAUUAGCUAGUUGGUAAGGUAACGGCUUACCAAGGCAACGAUGCAUAGCCGACCUGAGAGGGUGAUCGGCCACACUGGAACUGAGACACGGUCCAGACUCCUACGGGAGGCAGUAGUAGGGAAUCUUCCGCAAAGGGCGAAAGCCUGACGGAGCAACGCCGCGUGAGUGAUGAAGGUCUUCGGAUCGUAAAACUCUGUUAUUAGGGAAGAACAUAUGUGUAAGUAACUGUGCACAUCUUGACGGUACCUAAUCAGAAAGCCACGGCUAACUACGUG
rnacentral:rRNA from 1 species